GACGAACGCUGGCGGCGUGCUUAACACAUGCAAGUCGAACGGUAACGCGCCUUCCUUUUUGGUCGGUGUGGAGGAGUGGCGACCGGGUGAGUAACCCGUGAGUAACCUGCACCCUUCUUCUGGAAAACCGCAUGAAAGUGUGGCUAAUACGGGACAUUCUGCGGCUGUCGCAUGGUGGGUCUGGGACAGAUAUUGUUUCGGUGGGCGAUUGGCUGGCGGCCUAUCAGCUUGUUGGGGGGAUGAUGGCCUACCAAGGCGGUGACGGGUAGGCGGGCUGGGAGGGUGGACGGUAACAGAGGGACGGCGACGCCGAGCAGACUCCUACGGGAGGCAGCAGUGGGGAAUAUUGCACGAGGGGAGGAAGCAUGAUGCAGCGACGCGGGGUGAGGGAUGGCGGCCUGGGUGUUGUGAACCUCUUUCGGGAGUGAAGCCGGUCAGGCUCGUAUGUUGGGAGGAUGACGGUAGCUGAAUAAGAAGCGCCGGCUAACUACGUG
rnacentral:rRNA from 1 species